rnacentral:rRNA from 1 species
AGAGCGAACGCUGGCGGCAGGCUUAACACAUGCAAGUCGAGCGCCCCGCAAGGGGAGCGGCAGACGGGUGAGUAACACGUGGGAACGUGCCUUUUGGUUCGGAACAACCCAGGGAAACUUGGGCUAAUACCGGAUAAGCCCUUACGGGGAAAGAUUUAUCGCCAAAAGAUCGGCCCGCGUCUGAUUAGCUAGUUGGUGGGGUAAUGGCCCACCAAGGCUACGAUCAGUAGCUGGUCUGAGAGGAUGAUCAGCCACAUUGGGACUGAGACACGGCCCAAACUCCUACGGGAGGCAGCAGUGGGGAUAUGGACAAGUGGGGCAACCUGAUCCAGCCAUGCCGCGUGAGUGAUGAAGGCCGUUAGGGUUGUAAAGCUACUUUUAGCGUAGGAAGAUAAGUGGACGGUACCAGCAAGAAAACGCCCCGGUACUAACUUCGUCGCCAGCACGCCGC